UACGAAGGGGGGCUAGCGUUGUUCGGAAUUACUGGGCGUAAAGCGCACGCAGGCGGCUAUCCAAGUCAGUGGUGAAAGCCCGGAGCUCAACUCCGGAACUGCCAUUGAAACUGUUUAGCUUGAGGACGAGAGAGGUGAGUGGAAUUCCCAGUGUAGAGGUGAAAAUUCGUAGAUAUUGGGAAGAACACCGGUGGCGAAGGCGGCUCACUGGCUCGUAUCUGACGCUCAGGCGCGACAGCGUGGGGAUCAAACAGG
rnacentral:rRNA from 1 species